UACGUAGGGGGCAAGCGUUGUCCGGAUUUGUUGGGCGUAAAGAUCGUGUAGGCGGCCAUGCAGGUCCGCUGUGAAAACUCGAGGCUCAACCUCGAGAGGUCGGUGGAAACCGCAUGGCUAGAGUCCGGAAGAGGAGAGUGGAAUUCCCGGUGUAGCGGUGAAAUGCGCAGAUAUCGGGAAGAACACCCGUGGCGAAGGCGGCUCUCUGGGACGGUACUGACGCUGAGACGCGAAAGCGUGGGGAGCGAACAGG
rnacentral:rRNA from 1 species